UGCAAGUCGAGCGAUGAAGUUUCUUCGGAAAUGGAUUAGCGGCGAACGGGUGAGGAACACGUGAAGAAUCUGCCCUCCACUUUGGGAUAACACCGGGAAACCGGUGCUAAUACCGAAUAUUGAAACAUAAGUGGCAUCACUGAGUUUUGAAAGAAUUUCGGUGGAGGAUGACUUCGCGGCCUAUCAGCUAGUUGGUGAGGUAAUGGCUCACCAAGGCAACGACGGGUAGCCGGCCUGAGAGGGCGACCGGCCACACUGGGACUGAGACACGGCCCAGACUCCUACGGGAGGCAGCAGUGGGGAAUAUUGGGCAAUGGAGGAAACUCUGACCCAGCGACGCCGCGUGCGGGAUGAAGGCCUUCGGGUUGUAAACCGCUUUCAGUAGGGAAGAAGCGAAAGUGACGGUACCUACAAAAGAAGCACCGGCUAACUAUGUGCCAGCAGCCGCGGUAAUACAUAGGGUGCAAGCGUUGUCCGGAAUUAUUGGGCGUAAAGAGCUCGUAGGUCGUUUGUUACGUCGGAUGUGAAAACCUGAGGCUCAACCUCAGGCCUGCAUUCGAUACGGGCAAACUAGAGUUUGGUAGGGGAGACUGGAAUUCCUGGUGUAGCGGUGGAAUGCGCAGAUAUCAGGAGGAACACCAAUGGCGAAGGCAGGUCUCUGGGCCAAUACUGACACUGAGGAGCGAAAGUCUGGGGAGCGAACAGGAUUAGAUACCCCUGGUAGUCCAGACCGUAAACGGUGGGCACUAGUUGUGGGAACCUUCCACGGUUUCUGCGACGCAGC
rnacentral:rRNA from 1 species